rnacentral:lncRNA from 1 species
CCCACGGCCUCUGACUCCCCAGCCCGGGCUCUUUCCACCGAGCCACGUUGUUUCCUAUCGACUCCGGGGCUACAGUGACCGGCACACAGUAGGCAAUUAACAAAUACCACAUUUAUUUUUAUUAUUGUUAUUAUUAUUAUCCUGCACCGCUGGAUGUGCCCCUCUUUCCCCACAGGACAGACAAAUACUCAGAGCACAAGCUAAGGAUGGGCAGUGCCUUAUUCGCGCCUUUUGGAAUGGGGGUAAAGCCAGCCUCUUCAUGGAGUUCUCAGCGCUUAGAACAGUCCUUGAAUUCACGUGUCCGGAUUGCAGCCAAGACUUCCGGCGUGAGCAGAUCUGCCUCUCCCACAUUUGCUUCUUUCAUACCCAAGAGAAAAGUCCCUUCCCACAUUGGAACCUUUGGACCAGAGGGUCCUGAAGAGUGGGUCUCUAGAGAAGG